rnacentral:rRNA from 1 species
GUUAUCCUACGGGGGGCAGCAGUGGGGAAUAUUGGGCAAUGGGCGCAAGCCUGACCCAGCAACGCCGCGUGAAGGAAGAAGGCUUUCGGGUUGUAAACUUCUUUUAAGAGGGAAGAGAAGAAGACGGUACCUCUUGAAUAAGCCACGGCUAACUACGUGCCAGCAGCCGCGGUAAUACGUAGGUGACAAGCGUUAUCCGGAUUUACUGGGUGUAAAGGGCGUGUAGGCGGGACUGCAAGUCAGAUGUGAAACCCAUGGGCUCAACCCAUGGCCUGCAUUUGAAACUGUAGUUCUUGAGUGAUGGG